GUAAACUGACUGCUGCCCUUUGUGAGGGGAGGAGGGGGCUGGGAAGCUCAGCCCCUUCCCUUCCUUUGUAAUUCAAACCCUUCCUCGAGGCUCAGUGUUUUGGAGGGGAGGCAUCUGCUCCAGACCCGUCCCUGCCGCCGAGGAGCUCACACCGGUGCUGGCGGCGAGCCAGGCUCGCAGACCGGAGUUUACAUGACAAAGCAGCUCCUUCCUAAUUAAACUUCAUCCAGCACUUUUCUGUCUCAUACAUAAUUAGUGCAGAACAACAAACAUAGAGGAAUUAUUCCAGCUGCUUGUAACACUGAAGGUCCAUGAGAGCCUGGGAGAAUGUAUCCACAUGCAGGCUUAUCUCUUCAUUUCAGACCAUUCAUCAUUCCUUGCCUGGAAGCAACAGUUAAUUUCCAACAACUCAAUGUCAAGAUGGCAGUUUAAAUCCUCUUGAGGAUUGCCCCAGGAGAAGAUUUUGUCCCAGUUCUUUUGCAGCCACUGUAGAGUCAGCCUCUUUUGAUGUCACUCAGUUUUAGAGUGUGAUAGAAAUAAAGAAAGAGUGAAGAUCUGCUGGUGACCAUCCCAACCCAAGGAAGGAUCAUCUCUCCAGAGCCUUCUCUUGGGAUUUCAAUAGGGACAGAAAUUAAGAGUCAGAAUGGUUUGGGUUGGAAGGGACCUAGAAGAUCACCCAUCUCCAUCCCUCCUGCCUUGCUCAGGGACACCUCCCACUAUCCAGAAAGGAAAAACACAGCCUGCCAGAAAAUGCUGCAUGUCAUGGAGAGGAUUUCCUAGGGUUACCAUUUUCUCUGGAUAUAGAUUAGCACAACUCCUGCACAAAAUAGGAGAUACUUCCAACUUAGAGUAGAGGAGAAGGACCUGAGCCAACACCAACAGACUGGACCUUUCUGAAAAGGCCACAUCACAACCAGGCCCGUCCCCCAGACCUCCCAAACAGAAACCCUGAUAAAAUCCCCAACAAGAACCCUCAGAGCAGAGCAGAGUCUUGACAUCCCCUUCUCCCCUUUUCUGUCUCUUACAUUUAUUUGGAUUCAGCUUUAUCUCUUCAUUUUAAGGACUCUCUCUCCACGUUUUAUUGGUGUCAGUGGCCCUUUUACCAAGGACAAUCUGCACUGAACAUUUUGGAAAGCAAUGAUUUAGAAGCUGCAGGUAGCAUGGCAGAGUGGCUGUUGAGCCAUCUCUGGAAAUCAGAAGGUGUCUAAAGAGAGUGUUUACAAGCAGAACGCUGCUAAAAGUCUGCCUUGGUUGCAGAUAACAAGGCUGAGACAAUGACAGAUUUCCUUCCCCUGGCAGCCAAGAGCAGCUCCCUGUGAUUGCCUUGCCGUGUUUAUCCAGGAUGCUGGGAGAGAGCAGGCACCAAAUCUGCAAUUAAUUGGCAGUUUGCAGGAGCAUAUUGCCUAAAGAUAAACAGAGUGGGUGAUCGUGUCGUAUGGAAAACGGCUGAGUGCUGCAGAUGUAGUGUUGACCCAGUUUAAAAAAAAAAGAAGUUUUUUUUUGUUCUCUUGGAAAAUAAAUGUACUGAAAUGAA